rnacentral:rRNA from 1 species
UACGUAGGGUGCAAGCGUUAAUCGGAAUUACUGGGCGUAAAGCGUGCGCAGGCGGUGAUGUAAGACAGAUGUGAAAUCCCCGGGCUUAACCUGGGAACUGCAUUUGUGACUGCACGGCUAGAGUGUGUCAGAGGGGGGUAGAAUUCCACGUGUAGCAGUGAAAUGCGUAGAUAUGUGGAGGAAUACCGAUGGCGAAGGCAGCCCCCUGGGAUAACACUGACGCUCAUGCACGAAAGCGUGGGGAGCAAACAGG